rnacentral:misc_RNA from 1 species
AUGAAUUAAAUAGGAGGUAGUUGUUGCUGGCCUUCUUAAUGAGGGGGCAUGUGCACACUAUGUCUUUCAUUACCUUUCUCACCUGUGCACUAACUGUAGGUUCAGCCGGCUAGUUUUGGCUCGCAUGAACCUAUGUUUUUAUAUACACACCGAGUAUGUUACAGAAUGUUAUUAAACAAGGCUUAAUUGCCUUUUAAACUUUAUA